rnacentral:rRNA from 1 species
AACGAACGCUGGCGGCAGGCUUAACACAUGCAAGUCGAGCGAAUGAAGUUCCUUCGGGAACGGAUUUAGCGGCGGACGGGUGAGUAACACGUGGGCAACCUGCCUCAUAGAGGGGAAUAGCCUUCCGAAAGGGAGAUUAAUACCGCAUAAGAUUGUAGUACCGCAUGGUACAGCAAUUAAAGGAGCAAUCCGCUAUGAGAUGGGCCCGCGGCGCAUUAGCUAGUUGGUGAGGUAACGGCUCACCAAGGCGACGAUGCGUAGCCGACCUGAGAGGGUGAUCGGCCACAUUGGGACUGAGACACGGCCCAGACUCCUACGGGAGGCAGCAGUGGGGAAUAUUGCACAAUGGGGGAAACCCUGAUGCAGCAACGCCGCGUGAGUGAUGACGGCCUUCGGGUUGUAAAGCUCUGUCUUCAGGGACGAUAAUGACGGUACCUGAGGAGGAAGCCACGGCUAACUACGUGCCAGCCGCCGCGGUAA